rnacentral:rRNA from 1 species
AAACAACUCUCAGCAACGGAUAUCUUGGCUCUUGCNNNNAACGAUGAAGAACGCAGCGAAAUGCGAAAUUUAAGGUGAAUUGCAGAAUUCCGUGAAUCAUCGAGUCUUUGAACGCAAGUUGCGCCCGAAGCUUGUCCGAAGGCAUUUCCGCUAGAGCGUCACG